UAGAGUUUGAUCCUGGCUCAGGACGAACGCUGGCGGCGUGCUAUACAUGCAGUUGAGCGAUGAAGAUUGGUGCUUGCACCAAUUUGAAGAGCAGCGAACGGGUGAGUAACGCGUGGGGAAUCUGCCUUUGAGCGGGGGACAACAUUUGGAAACGAAUGCUAAUACCGCAUAACAACUUUAAACAUAAGUUUUAAGUUUGAAAGAUGCAAUUGCAUCACUCAAAGAUGAUCCCGCGUUGUAUUAGCUAGUUGGUGAGGUAAAGGCUCACCAAGGCGAUGAUACAUAGCCGACCUGAGAGGGUGAUCGGCCACAUUGGGACUGAGACACGGCCCAAACUCCUACGGGAGGCAGCAGUAGGGAAUCUUCGGCAAUGGACGAAAGUCUGACCGAGAACGCCGCGUGAGUGAAGAAGGUUUUCGGAUCGUAAAACUCUGUUGGUAGAGAAGAACGUUGGUGAGAGUGGAAAGCUCAUCAAGUGACGGUAACUACCCAGAAAGGGACGGCUAACUACGUGCCAGCAGCCGCGGUAAUACGUAGGUCCCGAGCGUUGUCCGGAUUUAUUGGGCGUAAAGCGAGCGCAGGUGGUUUAUUAAGUCUGGUGUAAAAGGCAGUGGCUCAACCAUUGUAUGCAUUGGAAACUGGUAGACUUGAGUGCAGGAGAGGAGAGUGGAAUUCCAUGUGUAGCGGUGAAAUGCGUAGAUAUAUGGAGGAACACCGGUGGCGAAAGCGGCUCUCUGGCCUGUAACUGACACUGAGGCUCGAAAGCGUGGGGAGCAAACAGGAUUAGAUACCCUGGUAGUCCACGCCGUAAACGAUGAGUGCUAGAUGUAGGGAGCUAUAAGUUCUCUGUAUCGCAGC
rnacentral:rRNA from 1 species